rnacentral:rRNA from 1 species
AGCGAACGUUAGCGGCGGGCCUAACACAUGCAAGUCGAACGAUGAAGCACCUUCGGGUGUGGAUUAGUGGCGCACGGGUGAGUAACACGUAGGUAAUUUACCCUCGGGCGGGGGACAACUUUUCGAAAGAGAAGCUAAUACCGCAUAAGACCACAGCCUCUGCGGAGGCAGUGGGAAAAGAUGGCCUCUUCUUGAAAGCUAUCACCGGAGGAUAAGCCUGCGUCCCAUCAGCUUGUUGGUAAGGUAACGGCUUACCAAGGCGAAGACGGGUAGCUGGUCUGAGAGGAUGAUCAGCCACACUGGUACUGGAACACGGACCAG